AUGUUGUGGAGGGUUUUGUCCAUCCCAGACACUGUCUCCUGGUGGAGGAUUCAUAGGAAAGGGCACAUUGAAAAUGUCAGGAAAAGGUCUUUUUUUCUUUUUUUAAUCUGCUGGGUUUUAUGUGAAAGAGAUCAUGAAUUGUUUCCCUUUUUGCUUCGGCUGCUGGGAAACUUAAAGCCAGACUGGCACUUCCUCCAGCCAAGGCUUAGGUGGUACUUCCAGGCCUCUCUGGCUUUGAUCCAUCUAUUCUCCCCAAAUUCUUUUGCUCACUUGAAUUAUAUGCUUCAGUCCUUUUUGAAAUUAGGUAACAUGUAUUUUCUAAAAACCUUAUCUCAAGAGUGUCUUCUACCAUUUCCAUCUCAAAAGAGCUGAAUUCAUUUGGUAAAAAAAAUGAAGGAUUUUAAGGAUCUUGUUUAGUCUUUUUGGAUGUGGUGUUUGUGUUACUGAUUUCUUCGUGCAUAGGUGGUGCGACUUCUAAACUCCAUGCUGUUCUGACUUUUGCAUGGCUCUGGGUUUUAGGGCCAGCCGACUGUCCUUCCUUUUGUAAGAAUCAAAGAUUCAGGAAAAAUGUAUCCUGAAUUCUUAAUUUUAAAACAAAAGUGGAGUUCCCACCCUGGCGCAGCGGAAGCAAAUCCGACUAGGAACCAUGAGGUUGCGGGUUCGAUCCCUGGCCUUGCUCAGUGGGUUAAGGAUCUGGCGUUGCCGUGAGCUGUGGUGCAGGCCGGCAGCCAUAGCUCCGAUUUGACCCCUAGCCUGGGAACCUCCAUAUGCUGCGAAUGAGGCCCUAAAAAGCGAAAAUAAAUAAAUAAAUAAAAUAAAAUAAAAUAAAAAU
rnacentral:lncRNA from 1 species